rnacentral:misc_RNA from 1 species
UGUUAAUCAGCUGUCUCAUUGGUCGCGGAUACAUACCAAUUCGUCAUAUAUGUAUUUUGUCUUGUAUGAAUAUGGUUUAUAGUAAAACUAAUAGUUCAGUGAGUGCACAUAGAUACGCGUACGAGUACGUCGAAUAACGAUAAUAAAAUUAUUUGUGGAAUUUAUUAUAUUUUAAAAUGUGGUGACUAUAUACUAUGAAAAAGAAAAUAUUGCAAUGUGGAAGUUGAGGUAGUCGCCAUUGAAAAUAAAAGAUCCGGUAGAGGACUAAAAAAAAAUCAAGGAUGAAGGUUGAAGGAUAAUUACGGGAUCGAGAACAGGAAACUGGUAUCUCAAUCGAUUAUAACCCUACGUUCUUGUGUUUUCUGACAGUUUUAUUAAAACCACAAAGAAAUAUAAAACCUCGGCCUUGGCACUUUAAGAAAUGACGAAAUAUUGACUUUUAGCCAGUGAUGUUUAAAUGCACGUGAUCAAUUUUUACCAAACAAUUUGACGCCAAGAAUUCAUCAAAAUAUCAAAAUGAGUUCUGUUUGGAAAAGACUUCAGCGAGUGAACAAAAGAGCAGCUAAAUUUCAAUUUACUGUCUCAUAUCAUGAACUUACUUUAGAAACCACAUCCAAAUGGAAACCAACUAAAUUAAGUGUAGUGUGGACAAGAAGAAGUCGAAGAGUAAGUUCUGAACCUUUAGAAUGGGAACCUUGUUUGAGUGAUCCUUUGAUAGGAAUCAUCAACUGGCCAGUUCCUGACAAUCAUACUGUGUCUGUGACACUAUUUAAAGACCCUAGAACUCAUGAAUUGGAGGACAAAGAUUGGACUUUUGUCAUUGAAGAUGUUUCGUCAACCGGUAAAAGGCGACAUGUUGCUGCCACUAAUAUUAAUAUGAAGAAAUAUGCAACUUUGGAAUCUAGUCAGCAACAACUUAAAUUAGAUCUCAAGCCCACAUCGAAAAAAAUAGCGAGAGCUACUCUUGAAUGUACUUUGUCUUGUGUAUUUCUUCGUGAAGGAAAAGCAACCGAUGAAGAUAUGCAGAGUAUGGCUAGUUUGAUGUCAGUCAAUAAUAAUAGUGAUAUUGCGCCUCUAGACGAUUUUGAUAACGAAGAUAUUCCUGAAGAUGUUGAGGAUUUAUCAUCAAAAAAUCUAGAUGAAAUUUUAGACAUAUCUACUCAAUUAGACCUGAUGACGAGUAGUUUGACUGAAAGUGAAAUGCCGAGUACUCCAAUAAGUGUCGCCAGUUUGGUAAAAGACGAUGCGACACCAGUAAAUGAUGAUAUAAACGUCACAUGUGAUACUAGCAUAACAAUGGUUACUGAUCAUCAUGUGAAAGAUAGAUCACCUAUUAAAGAUGAAAUAGCAAUCGAAAAUGAUAAAAAUACAGCAAUGAGGUCAAAGCUUCAACCUUUAGAUUUAAAAAUAAAUGAGACUGCACCAAGAAUGAGGGAAGUUACCCCAGGUCAGGAUCUUUUAGAAUGGUGUAAAGAAGUAACACAUAAUUACCCAGGUGUUAAAGUAACGAAUUUAACAACUUCAUGGCGAAAUGGAAUGGCAUUUUGUGCAAUCAUUCAUCAUUUUAGACCAGAUCUCAUAGAUAUAGAUUCCUUAUUGCCUCAUGAUGUCAAAGGUAACUGUAAAAAAGCUUUUGAUGCUGGUGAAGCAUUGGGAAUUCCUCGAGUUAUCGAGCCAGCAGAUAUGGAUAUAUUAACGGUGCCAGAUAAAUUAGCCGUUAUGACAUAUUUAUAUCAAUUAAGGGCUCAUUUCACUGGUCAUGAACUGGAGGUUCAUCAGAUUGGUAAAACAACAGAUGAAUCAUCAUACAUGAUCGGUAGGUUCAAUACUGAUGAUAAUUCUGAAGUUAGUGUUCAAUUAUUUGGUCAAGAAAUCAUUAAUAUGAGGAAGAAAGAACAGAAUGAACAGAAAAGUAAUAAAACUGAAUGCAAUCGACGAUCAAAUCCAUUUGAUUAUAAAAGAGAAGAUUCGUGCGGUGAAUCACUUAAAAAUAAAUUGCAUCUUAACUUAAAUACCGAAAUUCAAGAUAACGAUCCAGUUAAUAAAGACAAAUCACCAUCAAGUGUAAAAGAUGUAAAGGAUAUUAUUCUAGCUGGUUCUAAAAGUAUUCUUGGUAAAGUGCUUUCUCCAACGAAAGAAAAAUACGCAUCUAGAGAAAAGAGUAAAUCUCCUCCACGACCACUUCAUGUUCAACAACGUCCAAUUUUGAUGACAAGACGUCAAUUAACAGACCCGUUCGGUUCAGAUGAUGAAGAAGAAAAUAUUCAAGUAGUAGAUGAUAAGUGGUCUCAAUCAAUUUCUAUCACUAAAUCGCCUACGUCAUCGCGUGAUGAAAUAAUAGAUAGAACCAUACGAGCCAACUCCGAAGGUCGCGGUGAAAUGUCACCAACUCAUAGAGAACCACGGUCUCAACACCCACUGGUCUCAAGACAUGAUGAGUUACGAGAGCGUGCGAGACAGCUUUUAGAACAAGCACGAAAUCAAACAAAAACAUCGGCAGUGUCAUCUCCAGUUUCCAGUCCUGGAGAAUCUCAAAUAGAUGAUGACAGACAGCAGCAAUUACGAGAACGAGCCCGAAGACUUAUCGCUGAAGCGAGAAUGGGUGUUGUUAUAACUCCAAGUCAGUUAGGAGAUGACAAUAGCAGCGAUAAACGAUCUAUUGAUGAUCAGAAUAAUAGUCCAAGGCGAAGUAUUACACCUUCAACACCCGGAGAUCGACUGAGCAUAAAGUCCGAACACAAUGGUAAUAUAUUAGCGAAUUCAUCGAACAUUAGUGAUGGGGAGAAAAAGUCUACUACUCCUAUAUAUUCUUACAAUAAAAUAAUUGAGAGGAUUUCUCCAGACAAAAGUAGUCCUGAGAAAAGUCCGCAGACAAUGCGUGGGUUUGGUAAAGACAUGACAUCAUAUAUCCAAAAUGAAUUAGAAGCUUUAGAAAGAGAACAAAGUCAAAUAGAUGUUCAAGCAGCGAAACUUGAAAAACAACUUCGAGCUGCGAUGGAGAGUGACAAUGAAGAAGAUACUAAUUUACUCAUGUCACAUUGGUUUACACUUGUUAAUAAGAAAAAUGCACUGCUACGACGACAGAUGCAGUUAAAUAUUUUGGAAAAAGAAGAUGAUUUAGAACGAAGAUUUGAACUUUUAAAUCGAGAAUUGAGGAGUAUUUUUGCUGUAGAAGAUUGGCAAAAAACUGCUGAACAAAAAGUUCGAGAGAAUCUCCUUUUAGAAGAAUUAGUUUCGAUUGUGAAUAAAAGAGAUGAAUUAGUGCAUCAUCUUGAUUCUCAAGAAAGAGCAAUUGAGGAUGAUGAUGAAAUAGAACGUGAUUUAUCCCGUGCUGGUUUAGGACAAAGAAAUAAGAAUUGUGUAAUUCAAUAAAAUGAAAUAAGCAAUAUUAGAAAAAAAAAUAUUGCCAAGAAGAAAGUUGCCAAAGAAGAAAAAGAAGGAUCAUCAGAGACGAGUUACAGCAAUUUAAGUAGGUUAACAAACCUUAUGAUGACACAUUGACUCUCGACAUCUAUCAACAUGUUCCGGUACAUUUCAUCAGCUAAUCCAUAAAUGUGGGGUGGAUUUUCAUAAGGGGCCUAAAUGUAAUAAAUUUUUAUUAGAAAGAAUAUAUGAAGAUAAAAAAUUGAAAAUUUUUCUCGGAAUAUGAAGUAUUUUUUUUAUUCCAUGAUAUAACAUUACUGAUAUCUGAUAGAUGCUAUAAUGUGAUUCUUCAAUUG